rnacentral:pre_miRNA from 1 species
ACUCCAGAGAAAACGUUUCUGCGCACACCCCAGACUACCGAAACCAAUGUGUGGAAAUGCUUCUGCUGCGUU